rnacentral:rRNA from 1 species
AACGAACGCUGGCGGCAGGCUUAACACAUGCAAGUCGAACGCCCUCUUCGGAGGGAGUGGCAGACGGGUGAGUAACACGUGGGAACCUACCUAGGGGUACGGAAUAACUCGGGGAAACUCGUGCUAAUACCGUAUACGACCUUCGGGUGAAAGAUUUAUCGCCCCUAGAUGGGCCCGCGCUGGAUUAGCUAGUUGGUGGGGUAAAAGCCUACCAAGGCGACGAUCCAUAGCUGGUCUGAGAGGAUGAUCAGCCACACUGGGACUGAGACACGGCCCAGACUCCUACGGGAGGCAGCAGUGGGGAAUCUUGGACAAUGGGCGCAAGCCUGAUCCAGCCAUGCCGCGUGAGUGAUGAAGGCCCUAGGGUUGUAAAGCUCUUUCGCCAGGGAAGAUAAUGACGGUACCUGGAUAAGAAGCCCCGGCUAACUCCGUGCCAGCAGCCGCGGUAAUACGGAGGGGGCUAGCGUUGUUCGGAAUUACUGGGCGUAAAGCGCACGUAGGCGGCUAUCCAAGUUGGGGGUGAAAUCCCUGGGCUUAACCCAGGAACUGCCUUCAAAACUGGAUGGCUAGAGUCCGAGAGAGGUGAGUGGAAUUUCCAGUGUAGAGGUGAAAUUCGUAGAUAUUGGAAAGAACACCAGUGGCGAAGGCGGCUCACUGGCUCGGUACUGACGCUGAGGUGCGACAGCGUGGGGAGCAAACA